GGAGAUUUCCCUAAUUUUAGUAUAACCACUCCACGGGAUGCCUGUGGUGACGCGGUUACGUAGCAGAGUGGCGUGAUCGGGGUGAGUGCGUCCCAGUUGUGAGUCUUUCGGUGGAAAGAUAUGACUUCGUUUGAUUUAUGUAACUUAUAACCAUGGAGAUCGCACAGAAUUCUUUUCACCGCCGCUUAGCGUUGUUUGUCAACGAUUGUUUGAGAUGCGAAUAAAUGUGUUGUG